rnacentral:tRNA from 1 species
GAGAAUUUAGCUCAGUGGUAAAGCAUGCGCUUAGUAUGUGCAAGGCCCUGGGUUCAAUCUCUGAACACACA